rnacentral:tRNA from 1 species
GGGCGAUUAGCUCAGCUGGUUAGAGCGCGUCUCUGAUAAGGACGAGGUCCCAGGUUCGAGUCCUGGAUCGCCCA